UUCGCUAUAGCCUCCUCCGGAAUCACCAUCGAAUGAAGACCAUCCCUGUUAGUGAUCUCAACAUUGAACUUCUUCAACACCUUUUUGUCUUAGGCAGCAGACACCCAACUUAGCCCAAGCUUCGGAAUGGUAGGUAGAUCUGACUUCCCCACCGUAGAACCCUCGUCGCGAACCUCCGUAACCAUCUUAUCCCUCGUCGGAGAGACAGGAGAACCCGGCGGUGCAGCCGAAUCCAUCCUCAAAACCCUAGCUCCAAAUCGCCUCAGAA
rnacentral:lncRNA from 1 species